UGUCACUUCCAGGCAGGGCCUCGAGGAAGUAGGUGAGCUUCUCCAUCCCUGUCUGUCUAGAUGCAGAGAACCCAAAGCCCUGCAGGAUGGCAAAGCUGCAACAUGGAAGUCACCCGGAUCACCACGUAAAGGAAAUCUCUCCAACCAGGAACAAACACCUGCCUUGCAAUAUUAGGUGGCCACCAGACUUUCUCUGCUUGUAUCCUCCCAGGACCACAGAACUCAUCGCAUCCCAAGGCAGCCUAUUCCAUCAUGGAUGAGCUCAAAGUGUUUGAAAGUUCUGCUUUAUCAAAACUCUUGAUGGCCUGCUUCCCAUCCUCCAUCCUGGAAGACUGAUCUGAAACCCCAGGAGGAGGUCCUCUGAGCCCUGAGGCAGAGAUCUCUCACCUGGAAGAUGGGUCUAAUGACUGCGCCCCACACACACCAGAGAGGACUGCAGAUAGUGCGGGAUGAGAGGAAGAUCUCUGGCCCUGGAGACAGCAUCAUCAAGCGGUAGCUUCAUCUUUGGGAGCUGGGGCCUCUGCAGGAGCUUUACCCUCCUCUCUCCAUGCUGAGCCUGUCUCAACCCCCUAACCUGCACCCCAGUCUUUUGGGGUCACCUCAAGGCUUUGGCUGAUGCUUCUUUGCUGACGUCAACCAAGAAAACGUAUGAGGAAGAAAAUAGCAGAUGAGAAGAAUCAACCAAAUUCCGGAAGCUGGAAGGCAGAUGGAAGAAGGCCCUUGAAUGAUGCCAGCACCUUGAUAUUGGACUUUCCAGCCUCCAGAACCAUGAGCCAAUACAUUUCUGUUCCAUAAAAAUUACCCAGUUCCAGGUAUUCUGCUAUAGCAGCACAAAAUGGACUAAAACAAUGUUGGCACAAGACUCAGUGCUGGGCCUGGCAUGCAACAGGUCCUUGGAGUGGCGUGCUGUGUGGAUAAUGAAUAUUGGGGAAGGCAUCUCUCUCCAGCCCCUCUCAAGCUUUCUGUAGUCACUGGUCCACUCUGUAUUGCUAUGAAGAAGCUCAAGACCAGCCUGUAUCACUCGGGGUCCUGGCAGGAACCAGGUGCCACACUCAAACUGAGUAAUUGAAGAGGGUUUAAUAUGGGAGUUAUUUACAUAGGUGUGGGCUGGUGUAGCUGCCCAUAUGCCCUCAAAAUCACCUCUACAUGGCAAUAGCUACUUACUGCUAACAGAGUCUCUCUCUCAUUGCUGCAAAUAUUUUCUAGCCAUGCAAGAAACUCAGCCGGUCAUGUUGAACAAACUAAGAGUGCCAGGAAGUUAAUGUCCUGGAAGCAUUGCCAGAGGGGAGGGGGCAGUUAGAUUCCCCAGCUUCCUCGCUCCUCUGCUGGGUUAAGCCUGCAACAUAUUCAUCAUCUCCCAGAGUGCUGCCCAGGGAUAGAGCUCCAGGUGCUCAGUGUGGUGACCUGCUCAUGUCAGCUUCUUCCCCUUUCCUGUCUUGUUUCGCACCCACAUCCUUCCCAUGUUUCCUCUUCCCAAAUAAACUACUUGCAUUGAAAUCUUUGUCUCAGGCUCUGCUUCUGGGGAAACCUGAAC
rnacentral:lncRNA from 10 species